UACAGAGGGGGCAAGCGUUGUUCGGAAUUACUGGGCGUAAAGGGCGCGUAGGCGGCCUGUUAAGUCGAACGUGAAAUCCCCGGGCUCAACCCGGGAACUGCGUCCGAUACUGGCAGGCUUGAAUCCGGGAGAGGGAUGUGGAAUUCCAGGUGUAGCGGUGAAAUGCGUAGAUAUCUGGAGGAACACCGGUGGCGAAGGCGGCAUCCUGGACCGGUACUGACGCUGAGACGCGAAAGCUAGGGGAGCAAACGGG
rnacentral:rRNA from 1 species